AACGAACGCUGGCGGCGUGGAUAAGACAUGCAAGUCGAACGGGACAGACCGAGUAGCAAUAUUUGGAAUGUUCAGUGGCGAACGGGUGCGUAACACGUGGAUAACAUUCCGGAAAGCGGGGAAUAGCCCAGGGAAACUUGGAUUAAUACCGCAUGUGGCCGCAAGGCUAAAGACGGGGACCGCAAGGCCUGUCACUUUCCGAUUGGUCCGCGGCCUAUCAGCUAGUUGGCGGGUAAUGGCCCACCAAGGGUACGACGGGUAGCUGGUAUUAGAGGACGACCAGCCAAACUGGAACUGAGACACGGUCCAGACACCUACGGGUGGCAGCAGUCGAGAAUCUUUCACAAUGGGGGCAACCCUGAUGGAGCGACGCCGCGUGGAGGAUAAGGUCUUCGGAUUGUAAACUCCUGUCAUGCGAGAACAAGGUACUCAGGCUAAUAACCUGAUUGUUUGAUGGUACCGCAAGAGGAAGAGACGGCUAACUCUGUGCCAGCCGCCGCCGUAAAAC
rnacentral:rRNA from 1 species